rnacentral:rRNA from 1 species
CUUGAAACACGGACCAAGGAGUUUAUAGUGUGCGCGAGUCUUAAGGUUAUUAAAACCUAAUAGGCGUAAUGAAAGUAAAAGAAAUUUUUCUUUCUGAAGGAGGAUAAGUGAUUAGUUUUAAUAAACGUCACUUCGCACUCCUGGGGCGCUUUGUACUCAAUAUGAGUUAAGGCGCACCCAUAGCGUACACAAUAAUACCCGAAAGAUGGUGAACUAUGCCUGGCCAGGACGAAGCCAGGGGAAACCCUGGUGGAGGUCCGAAGCGAUUCUGACGUGCAAAUCGAUCGUCGGAGCUGGGUAUAGGGGCGAAAGACCAAUCGAACCAUUUAGUAGCUGGUUCCCUCUGAAGUUUCCCUCAGGAUA